rnacentral:rRNA from 1 species
UAGAAAUGACUGCUAAUACCGCAUAAGACCACAGCACCGCAUGGUGCAGGGGUAAAAACUCCGGUGGUGUGAGAUGAGCCCGCGUCUGAUUAGGUAGUUGGCGGGGUAACGGCCCACCAAGCCGACGAUCAGUAGCCGACCUGAGAGGGUGACCGGCCACAUUGGGACUGAGACACGGCCCAAACUCCUACGGGAGGCAGCAGUGGGGAAUAUUGCACAAUGGGGGAAACCCUGAUGCAGCGACGCCGCGUGAGCGAAGAAGUAUUUCGGUAUGUAAAGCUCUAUCAGCAGGGAAGAAACUGACGGUACCUGACUAAGAAGCACCGGCUAAAUACGUGCCAGCAGCCGCGGUAAUACGUAUGGUGCAAGCGUUAUCCGGAUUUACUGGGUGUAAAGGGAGCGUAGACGGAGCAGCAAGUCUGGAGUGAAAACCCGGGGCUCAACCCCGGGACUGCUUUGGAAACUGUUGUUCUAGAGUGCUGGGGAGGUAAGUGGAAUUCCUAGUGUAGCGGUGAAAUGCGUAGAUAUUAGGAGGAACACCAGUGGCGAAGGCGGCUUACUGGACAGUAACUGACGUUGAGGCUCGAAAGCGUGGGGAGCAAACAGGAUUAGAUACCCUGGUAGUCCACGCCGUAAACGAUGACUGCUAGGUGUCGGGUAGCAAAGCUAUUCGGUGCCGCAGCAAACGCA